GCUUAUCUCGUAUAACGGUUAGUACAGUUCGUUGUGGCCGAACAAAUCCAGGUUCGAUUCCUGGGAUAAGCA
rnacentral:tRNA from 1 species